rnacentral:rRNA from 1 species
UACAGAGGGUGCAAGCGUUAAUCGGAAUUACUGGGCGUAAAGCGUGCGCAGGCGGUUUGCUAAGACAGGUGUGAAAUCCCCGGGCUUAACCGAGGAACUGCCCUCCAACUGCGUUGCUUGAGGCCGGGAGAGGUGAGUGGAAUUCCCAGUGUAGCGGUGAAAUGCGUAGAUAUUGGGAGGAACACCAGUGGCGAAGGCGGCUCACUGGACCGGUUCUGACGCUGAUGCGCGAAAGCGUGGGGAGCAAACGGG